ACCGAUUAACCGCAACCAAUAACUUAAAUGCUUAUAUCACUACAAAAGCGACGCGCAAAUUCAUAUGUAAAAAAUCAAAUCAAACAAGUGUAAAAGUAAAAAAUAAUAGAAUUGGAAUAAAAGUUAGAGUAAUCAAAAUAAGAAGAAAGCCAUGUUUAAGAAUGAAGAACAAUCCGACAAAUAUAGAAGGAUAAAUGCUAAGCUUGAUCUUCUUACUGAAAACAAUGAACUACUAAGGAAACAGCUUAGAGAAAAUAACGACAUUUUCAAAAAAACAGCUAAAUGACUUCAUCUAUAAAAGCCAUAGCUGGAAAACGAGAACUUGAAAAGGGACUAACAGACAUCUUGUCCCCUACAUUGCUGGUUGAUUUCAACGUUGAGGGAAGUCGUAAUAAGAAAAGACUUUUAAAUUACCCAAAAUUAAUUAAUAUAUUAUUUCAAGGAACAUAUGAUGAAAAUAGCACUGAAAAAUCCUUUAAAAGUACAUUGAGAGAUGCUUUAAAAUUGGCAAAAAACAAUUUUUUUGAGGUAAAAAAGCUUUGGAAAAGACUACAUCGAAUACAGAAUAUAGUUCUCCUAAAGAUUCGGAAAUAGACUCAACAAAGAAUGAUAUAUGAUACAUUUUUUAAUUACAUUAAACUCAA